rnacentral:tmRNA from 1 species
GGGGCUGAUAUAGCAUUCGACAAUUGGAAUUUAACAGAAUGUUUUGCAGAUCGAAGAUGCACGUUACGCAUAUAUAAUAAUUGCAAAAUCUAAAAUUGCAACUGCAUUUGCUAACUUGAAGGGCGCGUUUGCUCCUCAGGCAUUUGCACCAAUCGCUGCGUAAUUUAAGGCGAUCAUUCUUGCUGUAUUCUGCAGUUGAAUAGGGCAGAGUGUUAUAUUGUAAACUGCUUGCUAUAUAGUUGGAAGCGGCAGCUAUAUAGGACAUCUACCGCGUAACACAUGCUGGUAUUUUUGAUUUAUUUUGAGCCAGUGCGUGUUAUAAAACAGGUAAAUAAAUCUAUGUCUGUAGACGAACAUUCAGUUACCAAUUGGACCGGGGGGCAGUACCCCGCAGCUCCACCA